rnacentral:rRNA from 1 species
AGAGUUUGAUCCUGGCUCAGGAUGAACGCUAGCGGCAGGCUUAAUACAUGCAAGUCGAACGGUAAGGUCCAGCUUGCUGGACACACGAGUGGCGGACGGGUGCGUAACGCGUAUGCAACCUACCUUUUACUGGAGGAUAGCCCCGAGAAAUCGGGAUUAAUACUCCAUAACAUUAUCGAAAGGCAUCUUUUGAUGAUCAAAGCUCCGGCGGUAAAAGAUGGGCAUGCGUGACAUUAGCUUGUUGGUGAGGUAACGGCUCACCAAGGCAACGAUGUCUAGGGGUCCUGAGAGGGUGAUCCCCCACACUGGUACUGAGACACGGACCAGACUCCUACGGGAGGCAGCAGUAAGGAAUAUUGGUCAAUGGACGAAAGUCUGAACCAGCCAUGCCGCGUGCAGGAUGACGGCCCUAUGGGUUGUAAACUGCUUUUAUAUGGGAAGAACCCCUCGUACGUGUACGAGGCUGACGGUACCAUAAGAAUAAGCAUCGGCUAACUCCGUGCCAGCAGCCGCGGGAAAUACGGAGGAUGCAAGCGUUAUCCGGAUUUAUUGGGUUUAAAGGGUGCGCAGGCGGGACAAUAAGUCAGUGGUGAAAUCCCCCGGCUCAACCGGGGAACUGCCAUUGAUACUGUUGUUCUAGAGUAUAGUUGGGGUAGGCGGAAUGUGUUGUGUAGCGGUGAAAUGCUUAGAUAUGACACAGAACACCGAUCGCGAAGGCAGCUUACCAAGCUAUAACUGACGCUGAGGCACGAAAGCGUGGGGAGCAAACAGGAUUAGAUACCCUGGUAGUCCACGCUGUAAACUAUGAUUACUCGUUGUUGGCGAUACACUGUCAGCGACUGAGCGAAAGCAUUAGGUAAUCCACCUGGGGAGUACGAUCGCAAGGUUGAAACUCAAAGGAAUUGACGGGGGCCCGCACAAGCGGUGGAGCAUGUGGUUUAAUUCGAUGAUACGCGAGGAACCUUACCUGGGCUUAAAUGAAGCAUGACCGUUCGGGAAACCGAACUUCUCUUCGGAGCAAGCUUCAAGGUGCUGCAUGGUUGUCGUCAGCUCGUGCCGUGAGGUGUCGGGUUAAGUCCCAUAACGAGCGCAACCCCUAUUCUUAGUUGCCAGCAUGUAAUGAUGGGGACUCUAGGAAAACUGCCUACGCAAGUAGUGAGGAAGGUGGGGAUGACGUCAAAUCAGUACGGCCCUUAUGUCCAGGGCUACACACGUGCUACAAUGGUCGGUACAGAGGGCAGCUACUUGGCAACAAGAUGCUAAUCUCGAAAGCCGGUCUCAGUUCGGAUUGGAGUCUGCAACUCGACUUCAUGAAGCUGGAAUCGCUAGUAAUCGCGCAUCAGCCACGGCGCGGUGAAUACGUUCCCGGGCCUUGUACACACCGCCCGUCAAGCCAUGGAAGCUGGGGGUACCUGAAGUUCGUGACCGCAAGGAGCGACCUAGGGUAAAACUAGUGACUGGGGCUAAGUCGUAACAAGGUA